AUUAGCGAGUUCUUAACUUGUUCUUAAGUUGGUAGUAAGCGCGUUCACACGCUGCAAAAGAGACUCGAAGGCACGCGGCCUCACCUGCUCACCCUUUCUGCUUACUGUCAAGUUGAGGCUGAAUCCUGUUUCCCAUGAGCCGUCUCGUCGUCGCUGCAAGGCUUCCCGGUAAAAUGGAAACAAGGUAAUUAGAGAGGACGCCACCCCGGCCUGACGAGGUCUGCCGUCGGCCUGGUUUUUUGUGCUCGUAUUGACCUCCCUUUCCUACGACCCCCCUCCCUCCGGCAGCACCUUGAGCCCGGAUCGUCUGCAGGGAUCAGACGGCCCUCCGGACGUCGCAGUGACGGCAAGUGCAAAGACUUCCGCGCAUCCACGAUUCCAGCUGUGCUCACCAGAUGCAGGCCGAAGUUGAGCACGCGCUGUAAAAGGCGCUGCAUGUGCGCCCGUAGAGCGGCGAGACGGAAUACCAAAGUCAAUAGUCGUCUCUUUGUCGUGUUUGUGUGUAGAAUGCUGCAUUAGUUUUCACAGUAAGCGGCCACCGGGCCAUGCGAGUACCAGGAACUGAACACUGAAUAAUACAAUAGCACCGUAUUGAUUUUUAGAGCACUGCACACUCAAGCGCAGAUUGCGCCACUGCCAAUUAAAGGACGUCAUGGUUUUAUUUGCUCCAGGAUGGCGUGUUUGAAAGGGCUUUAGAGUAUUUGCAGGGCG
ensembl:lncRNA